rnacentral:lncRNA from 1 species
GACACAGUGUGUAAUUACUCACAGGACACCUGGUGCUGGCUGUGACAAUCAGGUAUGUCUGUGUCUGGAUGAGAUGAAGAGCAAUUUACAAAUCUCAUCCACAUGAUGGAUGUGGAGGAGAAGCCGUAGAGGAUGACAGCCAACCAGAAACAAGCUGCAGUUUUGCCGUGAACAUCCAGGAAGUCUCUGUGGUGCAGAUGUGACAGCAACAGCAAAACUUAUUUCAAGGUCCCAUCCCAUGAAGAAGCUGGUCCUAAUUAACCACUGGGCUACCAGCUGGCCUAUGCAGCACUGCCUCAUUGCUCUGGGGUGACAGCGCAGCAGUGCU